ensembl:snRNA U6 U6 spliceosomal RNA
GUUCUCAGUUCAGCAAAUAUACUAAAAUUGGAAAUGAUACAGAGAAGAUCAGCAUGGCCCCUGCACAAGGAUGAGAAGCAAAGUUGUGAAGCAGUCCAUAUUUUU